UUAACAUUCAAUGAAAUUGGCCAGACAUCUUCAUUGGUCCUUUGAAAGUGACGUCAUGUCGCAUCAAUUACCACAAUGCACAGCACCUUGACCUGAGAGAAAUUAAAACAAUAUGUGGAAGAAAAUGAAGGAGCAUGAUUCAGCUGUGAAUACAGUCCAAAAUCAUCUACAGGAUCAAGAGCACCCGUGGCUUUACCUUAGCAAAUUAUUUUCUUGUAGUGAUAUUAGCAAGGAUUCAUACAAGAUGAAAUGUAUCUUUAUCUCCCACUCACCAAGGAAAUGCCUGCCUUCAAAAAUUCGCCAUCAAACGUAAAGAAGCUUAUUGAGAGAAUGCACCCAAAUCACCUCAAAAACUACUCUAAAUUGACAGCACAGAAGAGAAAGAUCAGGACCUUCACCCAUGCUUCCAGCAGUAAGCAAGUAAAAGUACUGAGUAUCAGAUCAGUGCAUCUGUAAUUGCAAGCACAGUAGAUUGUUGAACUGCACAUAGAAAAUCAUUCAUUGGUGUAACUGCUUACUGGAUAAAUCCUAAAAGUCUGGCAAGAUAUUCUGCUGCACUUGCCUGCAAAAGAUUAAAGGGCUCUCAUACUUUUGAGGUACUGGCUAGUGCUUUAAAUGAUAUCCACUCAGAGUAUGAAAUACGCGACAAGGUUGUCUGCACAACCACAGACAGUGGUCCCAAUUUCUGAAGGCUCAGAGUUUUAGGAGCAGAAAACUAUUAAUUUAAAACUGAAGCAGGCAAGUGUGAAAGUGAUGACAACACUGAUUCUGAAGGCUGUGGUGAGGGAAUUGAUGAUGUGGAAUCCCAAGAUUCUCUUCUUCUGGACCAAGAUGAUGGCUUUGAAUUCCAGCUACUAAAACAUCAAAAAUGUGCCUGCCACAUAUUUAACCUAGACUCAAGUGUUGAUGCCCAAAGAGCUCUCUCAAAUGAACACUACAAAAAUUCAACUUUUAUGGCUGUUGACAGAAUCCUCCAAAUUUGCAAAGAAGCAGGAGAAGGCGCACUUAGGAAUAUAUGCAUCUCUCUUGAGGUACCAGUGUUUAAUCCAGCAGAAAUGCUGUUCUUGAUGGAGCGGGCCAGCACAAUGCAUCCAGUUGCAGAAGUACUGAACAUCUUGCAAGCAGAAACAAAUACACAGCUGGGGUGGCUGAUGCCAAGUGUUCAUCAGUUAAGCUUGAAACUUCAGCGACUCAACCAUUCUCUCAGGUACUGUGGACCACUUGUGGACGCCCUUCAACAAGGAAUCCAAACACGAUUCGAGCACAUGUUUGAAGAUGCUGAGGUCAUCACCGCUACCAUCCUUCUCCCUAAAUUUCAGACCUCUUGGACAAAUGAUGAAACAUCAUAAAAAGGGUAAAUUA